AGUACGGCGGAACACGAGAAAUUCCGUCGGAAUCCGCGGGGACCAUCCCGCAAGGCUAAAUACUCCCUAGUGACCGAUAGUGAACCAGUACCGUGAGGGAAAGGUGAAAAGCACCCCGGAAGGGGAGUGAAAUAGAUCCUGAAACCGUGUGCCUACAACAAGUCAAAGCUCGUUAAUGAGUGAUGGCGUGCCUUUUGUAGAAUGAACCGGCGAGUUACGAUUGCAUGCGAGGUUAAGUCGAAGAGACGGAGCCGCAGCGAAAGCGAGUCUGAAUAGGGCGAAUGAGUAUGUAGUCGUAGACCCGAAACCAUGUGAUCUACCCAUGUCCAGGUUGAAGGUGCGGUAAAACGCACUGGAGGACCGAACCCACGUACGUUGAAAAGUGCGGGGAUGAGGUGUGGGUAGCGGAGAAAUUCCAAACGAACUUGGAGAUAGCUGGUUCUCUCCGAAAUAGCUUUAGGGCUAGCCUCGGAAUUGAGAAUGAUGGAGGUAGAGCACUGUUUGGACUAGGGGCCCAUCUCGGGUUACCGAAUUCAGAUAAACUCCGAAUGCCAUUCAUUUAUAUCCGGGAGUCAGACUGCGAGUGAUAAGAUCCGUAGUCGAAAGGGAAACAGCCCAGACCACCAGCUAAGGUCCCAAAAUAUAUGUUAAGUGGAAAAGGAUGUGGGGUUGCACAGACAACUAGGAUGUUGGCUUAGAAGCAGCCACCAUUUAAAGAGUGCGUAAUAGCUCACUAGUCGAGUGACCCUGCGCCGAAAAUGUACCGGGGCUAAACAUAUUACCGAAGCUGUGGACUACACCAUUAGGUGUAGUGGUAGGAGAGCGUUCUAAGGGCGUUGAAGGUCGAUCGUGAGGACGGCUGGAGCGCUUAGAAGUGAGAAUGCCGGUAUGAGUAGCGAAAGACAGGUGAGAAUCCUGUCCACCGUAUGACUAAGGUUUCCUGGGGAAGGCUCGUCCGCCCAGGGUUAGUCGGGACCUAAGCCGAGGCCGAUAGGCGUAGGCGAUGGACAACA
rnacentral:rRNA from 1 species